UUAGAACGCUCGUAGUCGGAUUUCGGGGCGGGGCGACCGGUCUGCCGAUGGGUACGCACUGGCCGCCGCGUCCUUCCUUCCGGAGACCGCUCCUGUUCUUAACUGAAUGGGUGCGGGAGACGGAUCGUUUACUUUGAAAAAAUCAGAGUGUUUCAAGCAGGCAGCUCGCUCUUGCAUGGAUUAGCAUGGGAUAAUGAAAUAGGACUUUGGUGCUAUUUUGUUGGUUUCGAACACCGAAGUAAUGAUUAAAAGGGACAGUCAGGGGCACUCGUAUUCCGCCGAGAGAGGUGAAAUUCUCAGACCAGCGGAAGACGAACCACUGCGAGAGCAUUUGCCAGGGAUGUUUUCACUGAUCAAGGAACGAAAGUUAGGGGAUCGAAGGAGGAUCAGAUACCCUCGUAGUCUUAACCAUAAACCAUGCCGACUAGGGAUUGGGGGAUGUUCACUUUUGACUCCCUCAGCACCUUACGGGGAAACUAAAGUCUUUGGGGUUCCGGGGG
rnacentral:rRNA from 1 species